rnacentral:rRNA from 1 species
UACGUAGGGUCCGAGCGUUGUCCGGAAUUACUGGGCGUAAAGAGCUCGUAGGUGGUUUGUCGCGUUGUUCGUGAAAACUCACAGCUCAACUGUGGGCGUGCGGGCGAUACGGGCAGACUUGAGUACUGCAGGGGGAGACUGGAAUUCCUGGUGUAGCGGUGGAAUGCGCAGAUAUCAGGAGGAACACCGGUGGCGAAGGCGGGUCUCUGGGCAGUACUGACGCUGAGGAGCGAAAGCGUGGGGAGCGAACAGG